AAAGAAGCUGAGGCAACUGGUGCAUUAUGUCGGGCCUUAGAACGGCCAACCUACGCAUGCUCGCGCGGUGCAGGCAACUCCGUUGUCUGGCAUGGUAACUCCGUCGCCAUCCAUCUUGAGCCGGUGAGAGGAGGAGAGAAACUCACCCCGGGAGCUUCGUGAGUGUUAUGAGUGAGUUGGAGUUUGAGUGACAAACCCCAAAUUAGUUUAGCCAUGGCAGAUUGCUUUAAACUCCUGAUUGUCGACCUUCUUGGGUUUGGACACGGUCUGCUCGGGCCAGGAGUCCAGAGUUAAGCUCAGUAAGCAUCGCGCCCAUAGGACACAGCGCAGAAAUUUGUGAGAAGUCAGGCUAACCCCAGGACUCUUUCGUGCGCCCCCAGGACAUACACAGUGGCUGCUUCUGUGCGGGGUGGUUAGGGGCGGGGGGGGGUAGCUGUGUGAGUGUAUGGUAAAUUAGUAGACAAAUGACUAUAAUGGCCAGUACGUGAACAAGUCCAAAUUUAAAGCUUAUGCCACAAGACAAGUUCUUUGAACUCUGCUUUGGAAAUGUAAGCAACGGAGUCUGCAAAAAUAAAUAACCAAAAGUGCCAAAGGCAGGCAACACUACGAGUAUCUACAGAACAUGCACAAAUGUAUCUACUCGUAGUCGUAUUAGUAGUCGUACUAGUAGAUGUUUAUGGUAAUGGGUUUUGCAUGCAAAUGCAUUGCAGUUCAUAAGCUGCUUAGCAGGUGUCCAGCAAACGAAUUCCAGCCAAAUGCAACACAAUUUAAGAUGCGGAAAAUCUAUAGAUAAAUAUCUGAAAAUAUCAGACAAAGGUAAAGAAGCCAUGUUCUUAAAAGUAUUGUCAAUAUGCACAAACAAAUGGAACACAAAUCUUUGGGGGGACAUCUAGUACCCACCCCGAGACGAGUCGAGUCACACAAUCCCACACUUGGGGCCAUCCGUCAAGGGGAACAGCCAGGCCAGGCCCCGUAUUUUAUCUUGGUUCGCUCACUCUCUCCCUCUUUUUCUCUCUCUCCCGCUCUCCAUGGGAAAGAAUGUGUCCC